rnacentral:lncRNA from 1 species
GUUAAUGACUGCAUAGAACACAACCUCAAAGAAAGUAAAUACGGAGAUGAGUGAAUUGUCAGUGUUACAGGUAUAACAGUAUGUAUCUCUGGGAAAGAAAUCAAACAAAAAAGGUAGUAGACAUGCAUUUCAGAGGGUUAUAUAUUCAUGUUUUUUAUUGUGCUCGCAUUACUUUCCAUUUCAACAUCUGAACAAGCAGCUAAUAACCAUUUAUUUAAUUCCACUGUUUGCCAUGGUCUCUGCCCUGCAAACUCCUUUCCCUUUCACUUCAAAUGGAACUCCUUUGUAUGUAGCAACACACUGGUCGUUGGUAUGAAGAUCAGGUUGGAUUUGCUCCCACAUCUUCUUCUUGGGAUUAAGUUCCUUCUCAGGAUCUCCUGGAAAACCUUCAAAAGUGAUUCUGUCCCCAGGUACCGCCCCAACUGGGGGAGCCAGAAUUUCCACUUUUUCUGGGGAGCUGGCACACAUCACCAUUGCUUGAGAUACUACUCCUCUCAUCUUUGCAGGCUUCAAGUUACAGAGCAGUACUGCCAUCCGAUUCUGCAUCUGAUCCAGGGGAACAUAUUUCACUAAACCACUGACAACAGUCCUUGGGCUCGCUUCUCCAACAUCCACCUUUUCAACAUACAAUGAGUCUGCAUCCGGGUGCUUUUCAGCUGUAAUAAUGCAGCCAACACGAAGAUCCAGACGAGAUACAUCUACAGGUUUUGAAUCACUACUUCCAGCAACUGGCUGCUGUUUCUUCUCCUUCUUAUCACCUUUUUUUUCUACUUUUUCCUUCUUCUUCUUUUCUUCAUCUUCACCUUUAACGUGAUCUUUGGAACCAGACGAUGCAACUGCUGCAGGUUGUGGAACAUCUUCUGAAAAUGAAGCUGUAGAAACAGUUGUACCAGAAGGAACUGCGACCUGUUUUACUCCAUUUCGAAUUUCAGCCUGAAUCAGCUCCUGUUUCAGCCCUUCAAUUUCUUUCUUCAGUUUUGCAUUUUCCACACGGAGCUUCUUCUCUUCUCGGAGCGAUGCCUGCAAGAUAGCUUUCUCUUUGAGUAGAGCAAUUUGCUGUUUGAGGUAUUCAAUAACUUGAUCAGCCUCUGCACCCUUCUGCUCCAGUCUGUUCAGCACUGCAUUGUUAGCUGCCAUCUUCAUCAAGAAACGGGCUAAAAACGGAGAAAGAAGUGGUAAGGACCAUCUCCUCG